ACCUCACCAUUCACCCAACCCAAUUCAAUCACCCUGGAGCCAACCAACGACGGAUCGAUCCGUGCUACGAGAAACAUAUAUAAAGAGCGUCGCAGCCAGUCAUGGCCGAUCCCCAGCCGCCGCCGUCAGACUUACAAGUACAAGCAACAGCACAAUCGGCACCUCCAACAACCGCAUCUGCUCCCACUACAGAAAAACCUGAGCUCUCAAACCCUCCAGAUCCAGAUAACAGUCCAUCGACCUCCGCCAUCCCCACAGACAAUGCUGCCAAUAGCAACACGAAUAUCGAAAUGAACAAUAGUAAUAAUACUAAUGCUAAUCCUAAUAACACCUCGACGACAACUCGGCCAGAUGUCACGAUGAGCGGUACCAGCGAAGCCACGACGGCAUCUACUAUGGCUGCCAGCUAUCAAUCGAUGACAACGUCUGCAACGACGAUGACAACGAUGACGGCACCAGCUGCGGCUGCGGCUGCGGCCACUGGCCCUGGCACAAGCACCACUGCGCCAACAGGAAUAAUUGCACCAGGAAUCCCAAUAGAUGCUGGAGUGAAUCCCGUCGCGGCUGUGCCAGUGCUGCCCCCGUCAAAGAAGGAUACGAGCCUACGCGAGUUUUUGGGACAGAUGGAUGAAUAUGCACCUAUUAUCCCCGAUGCCGUAACAGCACACUACCUAACCCUCGCCGGCCUUCCGCCCCCAGGAAAUGGCCCAAACCAUACUCCUCCGCACCUCGCCCGCCUUCUCGCCCUCGCCACACAGAAGUUCGUCGCCGAUAUCGCCGCAGACGCCUACCAAUACUCCCGCAUCCGCAGCUCGAACACUUCCUCGAAUAACCCCAUGGGCGCCAUAAAUCUCUCCACGGGCUUGGCGCACGGGCUAGCUGCUGCUGGAGGUGCUGCCGGGGGUACUGCAGG
rnacentral:sRNA from 2 species